UUUGAAGUCUGAACCUCUCCGAGCUCGAGAUACUCUUAGGCAGCAGUUUGCCUUCAAAGUCGCCUCCCUGGCUGUGCUUGCCACCUCUUGUGAUUUAGCACUGCAGCUCGCAUUUCUUCCACAGCUAGUCAUGAGGUUUACUUGCUAAAAUCUCAUCUUCUCCUCUUAAUUAGGCAUUUUCAUGCAAUGAACCAUAUGGAAGUCAAUGCAAAAGGUGUUGAUGUGCAGCAUGGAUGCUGAUUGAUAAAGCUGGCAGAUGGGGAGAUCAUCGGCUUUGAAGACUGUGAAGUUUCCUCUGGAACUAAAUAAAUAAGGAGACGUGUCACCGGCAGCCAGUGGUGCAGCUCGAGGGGCUGUGGCUGAGCUGGAAAUGCCCGAAGGAACACUGAACGGGAAAAUGUGUCUGUGGCUUAAAUAUCUCGCCCAGCCCUACUGCUCUGCCAUCGCUCGGCUAAGCUCAGAACUACUGACGUUUUAAUGGGGAUAGCAAAAAUUCAAAUUCCUGCAUCCAAACUCAGUGCCCAAGGUUAGGUCAGCUAUGGAAACCCUCAGUUCAAGGCUCUUGCAGCUCGUACGUAAACGCAAUAGGUAGCCAGGCAGCUGCUUGGAAAGUGCUCGCGAGGAGCCUGUCCACUGGGAUUCUGGAGCAGAAGACACACUUUGGUCUUAGAGGGGUGCCAAUUCAGCGAGGCCAGAUUCUGUCACCUUUACUUCCAGCAAGGCAUUUGUCCCACGGACCUCCACAGCUCCUGGAAGAAAUAAAGCUCUGCAAAGCAGAUCCUGGCUGGCCAGGACUCAGUUCCUCUGUCUGGCUCUUUUACCGAGGGAGAGGC
rnacentral:lncRNA from 1 species